AACCGGUCAAAGCCCCAUAUGAGGGUGAUGACGUGCUUUUUGUAGAACGAGCCAACGAGUUACGGUAUGUAGCAAGGUUAAGUACUUAAGGUACGGAGCCGAAGGGAAACCGAGUCUUAAUAGGGCGACUAGUUGCAUGCCGUAGACCCGAAACCGGGUGACCUAUCCAUGGCCAGGUUGAAGCGAGGGUAAAACCUCGUGGAGGACCGAACCACGUUGCUGUUGAAAAAGCAUGGGAUGAGCUGUGGAUAGCGGAGAAAUUCCAAUCGAACUCGGAGAUAGCUGGUUCUCCCCGAAAUAGCUUUAGGGCUAGCGUCGGAUAUGUGUAGUGGAGGUAGAGCACUGAAUGGGCUAGGGGGCAUAUCGCUUACCGAACCUUAUCAAACUCCGAAUGCCAUAUACAUUUAGUCCGGCAGUCAGACUACGAAUGAUAAGAUCCGUGGUCAAAAGGGAAACAGCCCAGAUCGUCAGCUAAGGUCCCAAAGUGUAAGUUAAGUGGAAAAGGAUGUGGGAUUUCUAAGACAACUAGGAUGUUGGCUUAGAAGCAGCCACUCAUUUAAAGAGUGCGUAAUAGCUCACUAGUCGAGAGAUCCUGCGCCGAAAAUGUCCGGGGCUAAAACUUACCACCGAAGCUACGGGCUUGCGUAAGCAAGCGGUAGGGGAGCGUCGUAAUCGGGCUGAAGUCGUACCGUAAGGAGCGGUGGACUGAUUACGAGUGAGAAUGUUGGCAUUAGUAGCGAGAUGUAGGUGAGAAUCCUACAGGCCGAAUAUCUAAGGUUUCCUCAGGAAGGCUCGUCCGCUGAGGGUUAGUCGGGACCUAAGCCGAGGCCGAAAGGCGUAGGCGAUGGACAACAGGUUGAUAUUCCUGUACCACUACCAUCGUUAUUAUCGAGGGUGUGACGGAGAAGGAUAGUGUGUGCUAGCGAUUGGAAAUGCUAGUCUAAGCGUUUAGGCAGUUACGGUAGGCAAAUCCGCUGUAAUGUUAAUGCUGAGGCGUGAUGGGGAAGGCCCUUGAGGCUGAAGUACAUGAUUCCAUGCUUCCAAGAAAAGCAUCUAGAGAGAGAAGUAGUGCCCGUACCGCAAACCGACACAGGUAGAUGAGGAGAGAAUCCUAAGGCCGGCGGAAGAAUUGCAGUUAAGGAACUAGGCAAAUUGACCCCGUAACUUAGCGAGAAGGGGUGCCUACGAGAGUAGGCCGCAGAGAAUAGGCCCAAGCAACUGUUUAGCAAAAACACAGGUCUCUGCUAAAGCGCAAGCUGAUGUAUAGGGGCUGACGCCUGCCCGGUGCUGGAAGGUUAAGGGGAACACUUAGCGCAAGCGAAGGUGUGAACUUAAGCCCCAGUAAACGGCGGCCGUAACUAUAACGGUCCUAAGGUAGCGAAAUUCCUUGUCAGGUAAGUUCUGACCCGCACGAAUGGCGUAAUGAUUUGGGCACUGUCUCAACUGCAAAUCCGGCGAAGUUGUAGUGCGAGUGAAGAUGCUCGCUACCCGCGAUUGGACGGAAAGACCCCGUAGAGCUUUACUGUAGCUUAGCAUUGAAUUCCGGUAUUGUCUGUACAGGAUAGGUGGGAGACUGGGAAACUAGGGCGUCAGCCUUAGUGGAGUCAUCCUUGGGAUACCACCCUGACAGUACUGGGGUUCUAACAGG
rnacentral:rRNA from 1 species